rnacentral:tRNA from 1 species
GCCGGGGUGGUGGAACUGGUAGACACAGGGGACUUAAAAUCCCCUGCCUGAAUAAGGCGUGCGGGUUCGAGUCCCGCCCCCGGCA